rnacentral:rRNA from 1 species
UGGGGAAUUUUGGACAAUGGGGGAAACCCUGAUCCAGCCAUCCCGCGUGUGCGAUGAAGGCCUCCGGGUUGUAAAGCACUUUUGGCAGGAAAGAAACGUCAUGGGUUAAUACCCCGUGAAACUGACGGUACCUGCAGAAUAAGCACCGGCUAACUACGUGCCAGCAGCGGCGGUAAUACGUAGGGUGCAAGCGUUAAUCGGAAUUACUGGGCGUAAAGCGUGCGCAGGCGGUUCGGAAAGAAAGAUGUGAAAUCCCAGAGCUCAACUUUGGAACUGCAUUUUUAACUACCGGGCUAGAGUGUGUCAGAGGGAGGUGGAAUUCCGCGUGUAGCAGUGAAAUGCGUAGAUAUGCGGAGGAACACCGAUGGCGAAGGCAGCCUCCUGGGAUAACACUGACGCUCAUGCACGAAAGCGUGGGGAGCAAACAGG